rnacentral:rRNA from 1 species
GACGAACGUUGGCGGCGUGCCUUACACAUGCAAGUCGUACGCGAAAGGGGAAACCAGCUUGCUGGGGGACCCCGAGUAGAGUGGCGAACGGGAGCGUAACACGUGAGGAACCUGCCUCGGAGUGGGGAAUAACCCAGAGAAAUCUGGGCUAAUUCCGCAUGAUGCAGCGGCCCCGCAUGGGGACAGUUGUUAAAGACCGCCUCUGCUUGCAAGCGGUCGCUUCGAGAUGGUCUCGCGGCCUAUCAGCUAGUUGGCGGGGUAAUGGCCCACCAAGGCGACGACGGGUAGCCGGCCUGAGAGGGUGUCCGGCCUCAUUGGGACUGAGACACGGCCCAGACUCCUACGGGAGGCAGCAGUGAGGAAUCUUGCGCAAUGGGCGAAGCCUGACGCAGCGACGCCGCGUGAGGAUGAAGGCC